GCGCUCUUAGUUCAGUCCGGUAGAACGCGGGUCUCCAAAACCCGAUGUCGUAGGUUCAAAUCCUAUAGGGCGUG
rnacentral:tRNA from 1 species